GCGGCAGUCAGUCUCCAGCGUCGCUGUCGUCCCGUCCCGUCUCUCGCUGUUGCUGCUUCCCCUCUUCUCCCGCACUGGAUCUCCCGUCGCCUCCGUCAUUUCCUCACCGACAUCGCGGUAACAGCCUCGCUUGUUUCGUUUCGCCUCUUUUUGGAUUCCAUUUCGGCGCUCGGUGGGUCCAGAAUCGUGCUUUUGUCCAGUUGGGUUCCGUUGAUGUUGGGUAGUUGGUAGGGUUGCGGGAGCCGUCGAAAAUCGACUCGGAGCUGAAGGGUUGAGCGGGGUCGUGGAUUCUGUGUUGCCCAGCGCGGUUGUGAAGUACAGAGGAGUGGCCUUUUGAAGAACAAAUUGGAGUGUGAAGAGCUGAGGUGAUGGAGAUUUCGGAGACGAAGAAGAAUCAGCAGAAAAGGAAGAGUGAAGAGUCGUUGCUGGUGUUUAUACAGUUUGUGACGUUUUGCUCUUUCUUUCUUGCCAUUCUGGGGUACUACAUCUCGGUCUGGAUCAUGCAACGUCAGGCGCCGGUGCACAUGUCCCACGUUUGAUAGCGAUGUCCCAGGACUAAUCUGGAGGAAAAGAGGGAGUGGUGUUUGAGUGGAUGCAGCUUGAUGAAUUGUGGUCCUGGAGUAGUUUAGAGCUGGUAAAGCAAGGUUGUGAAAUUAAUAAAAUUCGCACUAUGGAUGCCAGAUUGGUGGUGAAUAUGGGGCGGGAUGGGGUUAAUUGUAGUGGAGGCAGGAGAGUAAUUUAAGGUCUUUUAAAUGAGGUGCUCUUGGUGUGUCUAUGCUAGUCUUGGGCGUGCGCCAAAUGCUGUUGUCGUGGAAUGCAUCGAAUGCCAACGGGGCAGUUCGAAGGAGGUGAUCAUGCCUUCUCCUAGUGCAAGGAAAACGCCUGCCGAGCUGUGGCUGGAGCAGUUGAAGCGGCAUCAGUCAUCAAAAGUUGGAGGACAACCUCAACCUUGGGUUAUCCAGAGAAUUCUAGUAAACCAAAGAGACGUAGUAUUGCUGUCUCGUGCACCACGAGCCGCUCUAUCUGCUGGUAUCAAUUCACUAGUUGAUAAUGAAGACAACUCUUGGUUUCGCCCGCUACGAAGCCGCAAGGAAAAGGCAUCGUAUUACUAGUUACGUCUGGGGUGUCUAGAGGAUUUUUCUUCAAUUUCUCAGGAUGAAACUUGGUACAGUGAAGAUUCUCAUCCUCUGGGCCACUCUUGACGGUUCACAACUGAACUUGCAUUGUCCAAAAUCAGCAGUGUCCAAGAAGUGCUAAUUGGUAAUUCAAAUUGACAGACUUCGAGAGUUUCCGUUCAAAGUUAAGUGUCAACGAUCAGGAAAAAACACCAAAAUCCGAAUUUUAUCAUAUUCAGUCAGCUUCCCUGUUUUGGAGCUGACGUCAUGGAGUUCUUACGAAGACCACUAUUCAAAUAGAUUCAUGCUCGGAUCCGGAUCUGUGCCAUGACCCAGCUGGUUUGAAUCCACGUUACUGUUAACUAUCACCAUCCAGCUGCAGCUCCUUAGCUACUUCACAGCUUGAGGACGAACCUUCGUCGUGACUACUACGUACGCCAAAGAAUUAAUCGAGGGCUACGGAGUCUCUUGGAUUUCUGCCAGGAAACCUAUUACGCAAUCAGUGAAGGUUGGUGAAGAUGAUUGCAUCAGGUUCAAAAAACUAGUUUGGUGCCCUCUUGGUGUGAUUUGAAAGCAUCCGCUUCAAGACAACUUAUCUGUCUUUUAAAGGGGCCCAUGAGCCAUGUCGGCACCGCUCUGCCACUCGCUUUUUACUAUAAAAAGUUAUCGUUGUGAGCAAUUCUAAACA